rnacentral:rRNA from 1 species
CACCGCGGUUAUACGAGAGGCCCAAGCUGACAGAAGCCGGCGUAAAGAGUGGUUAGGCAGUCCUAAAACUAAAGCCAAACAUUUUCCAAGCUGUUAUACGCAUCCGAAACUAUGAAAAUCUUCUACGAAAGUGGCUUUAUUAUCCUGACUCCACGAAAGUUAUGAAACAAACUGGGAUUAGAUACCCCACUAUGCAUAACUGUAAACACAGAUAGCAACUUACUCGCAAUCCGCCAGGGAACUACAAGCACUGGCUUGAAACCCAAAGGACUUGGCGGUGCUUUAGACCCACCUAGAGGAGCCUGUUCUAGAACUGAUAACCCCCGUUUAACCUCACCCUGUUUUGUCAUACCCGCCUAUAUACCGCCGUCGUCAGCUUACCUUGUGAGAGAUUAUAAGUGAGCAAGAUUGGUACAACCCAAAACGUCAGGUCGAGGUGUAGUGUAUAGCAGGGGAAGAAAUGGGCUACAUUUACCCAUCGGUAAAUACGAAUGAUUUAUUGAAAAGUAAAACUGAAGGAGGAUUUAGCAGUAAGAAGAAAAUAGAGCGUUCUUCUGAAACAGGCUCUGAAGCGCGCACACACCGCCCGUCACUCUCCCCUAAUGCCUCAUAAAAUUAAGUAAAACAUCUGAAAAAUUAAGGGGAGGCAAGUCGUAACAUGGUAAGUG